rnacentral:snoRNA from 1 species
UUAGAAUGAUGAACAUAAUCUUUGGUCCGUGUUUAUGAGAUGGACUCAAGACCCAUUGUAUGAGUAUCAAAACCAAUUCACUUUCCUGAUCCA